rnacentral:rRNA from 1 species
CAGUAGCCGCGGGAAUACGUAGGGUGCAAGCGUUAAUCGGAAUUACUGGGCGUAAAGCGUGCGCAGGCGGUUAUAUAAGACAGAUGUGAAAUCCCCGGGCUCAACCUGGGAACUGCAUUUGUGACUGUAUAGCUAGAGUACGGCAGAGGGGGAUGGAAUUCCGCGUGUAGCAGUGAAAUGCGUAGAUAUGCGGAGGAACACCGAUGGCGAAGGCAAUCCCCUGGGCCUGUACUGACGCUCAUGCACGAAAGCGUGGGGAGCAAACAGGAUUAGAUACCCUCGUAGUCCCUGUCUCUUAUAC